GGAUUGGCAACGAGAGUAACUCACGUGAUCAUUUUACAUUGAUCUGUACGUAGAGACUCGAUUACCAUCCUUGAUGCGCUUGUUUUCGCGGCACAACGCCCGCGAAAUGAAGGAAUAUUCUUUUUCUAAGCUCAUAGUCUGUUUUAAAGACCAGUAAUUGAAUACAAUCGCGUUACAUUAUGUCUGUGCUUUAAUUAGAGUGACUUUUAUUUAUAAAAACCUGACCUGUGCUGCCCUAGAGCUUAAAAAGUGGUUUUUUGAAGUUGACGUUACAGUAUGCCUCGUAAACCAAGAAUCCAUUAUAGUAAAAACUAGAAGAGAAAGCUGCAGCCUGUACAUAAAUUUGGGCUAUCUUCAACUUCACCCGAAUCUCUACCCGACUCUCCACCCAUCAAUGCCGACUCUCCACCUGCCACAACUCUUCAAGUCCUUCACUCAACAAUGACCCUUACACAUAAAUCGUGGGUGGACCAGAGUCCUGAUCCUGUUACUUGAGAUUGCUAGAAAAGCCUAUCGAAGUUGAUUGCACACCUCUUACGUUGUAGUAAAAAAAGAAAUAGUUAAUAAUUGCAUGCUAUUUAUGUACAUGUACUAUUAAUUAUUAAGUGUCGAGUUUUUUUCGUAAACUAACUGAUUUCCUUGUACCCUUUUUAAUAUCUUGUUUGUAUUGUUCCAUCCA